CGGCGUGCUUAACACAUGCAAGUCGAACGCGAAAGGGACUUCGGUCCUGAGUAAAGUGGCGCACGGGUGAGUAACGCGUAGAUAACCUGUCUUCAUGUCUGGAAUAAUACGCCGAAAGGGGUACUAAUACCGGAUAUUCUUGCUUUUCAUAAGUUAUGCAAGCAAAGGUGGCCUCUGCAUAUGCUACUGCAUGAAGAGGGGUCUGCGUACCAUUAGCUAGUAGGUGGGGUAAUGGCCUACCUAGGCGACGAUGGUUAGCGGGUCUGAGAGGAUGAUCCGCCACACUGGCACUGGAACACGGGCCAGACUCCUACGGGAGGCAGCAGUGAGGAAUAUUGCGCAAUGGGGGAAACCCUGACGCAGCGACGCCGCGUGAGUGAGGAAAGGCCUUCGGGUCGUAAAGCUCUGUCAAGAGGAAAGAAGUGUACAAUGGCUAAUACCUGUUGUAUUUGACGGUACCUCUAAAGGAAGCACCGGCUAACUCCGUGCCAGCAGCUGC
rnacentral:rRNA from 1 species